GAUGAACGCUGGCGGCGUGCCUAAUACAUGCCAGUCGAGCGAACGGACGAGAAGCUUGCUUCUCUGAUGUUAGCGGCGGACGGGUGAGUAACACGUGGAUAACCUACCUAUAAGACUGGGAUAACUUCGGGAAACCGGAUCUAAUACCGGAUGAUAUUUUGAACCGCAUGGUUCAAAAGUGAAAGACGGUCUUGCUGUCACUUAUAGAUGGAUCCGCGCUGCAUUAGCUAGUUGGUAAGGUAACGGCUUACCAAGGCAACGAUGCAUAGCCGACCUGAGAGGGUGAUCGGCCACACUGGAACUGAGACACGGUCCAGACUCCUACGGGAGGCAGCAGUAGGGAAUCUUCCGCAAUGGGCGAAAGCCUGACGGAGCAACGCCGCGUGAGUGAUGAAGGUCUUCGGAUCGUAAAACUCUGUUAUUAGGGAAGAACAUAUGUGUAAGUAACUGUGCACAUCUUGACGGUACCUAAUCAGAAAGCCACGGCUAACUACGUG
rnacentral:rRNA from 1 species